UCUACCUACCUUCCGGUUUUUAGGGAAGGGGUUGGAAGACCAGUCCAUGAGCUGCAGCCAGCAUGUGCUGGGCUCCUCCUGUGCUGGCUGCUAGGGCUAGUGACCAUAGGUCCUGCAGAUAGAUCUCUACUGCAAUUGUAAGAUUCUCUAGUGAGCAAGGAAGACCUGAAAGUUUCCCAAGGACUCCCCACCCAUGUUCCCUAGCCCAGGGAACCAAGCUAUGAUUGCUAAGAUAUUACCCAGCUCCACCUUUGACCCUGAACCUCUGCAGCUUUGAAGUCUCCGUGUGUCCAAAGCUCCCUUUUAUUGCAGGGGUUUGGGUGGGGCUGAGGGGAUCCCCAGGUGUUUUUAGGGUGCUGCUAGCAUCCCUUUCUUCAGGAGGGAGUGGUAGGAACACAACCGUUGGAGCUGUGGGAAUCAGCAAGUGCUGUUCCAUGGAGCAGAUGUCUUCCAUGUACUGUAUUCAAGAAGUUUGUCUGUCUCAGUAUCAUGGCAGGGUCCCCCUCUUCUUCACAGGACCCAGAACCCUAAAGCCAGGGUCAAAGUUGAAUCUAACUUGGAUCAAAGUUUGUCAGCUGCUCUGAUGAGGAUCUGGUUCAUUUUGGGUCAGCCCAGCAACUGCUUGAAGCUGUAGGACUGAGUGGGCCUGUUUGGAAAACAACAUGGGAUCUAUCAUGGCCACUGAGGAAGGGCCACCCUGUCCCCCAAGAGUCCAUUGCCAGCCAGUGUCUUCACUGAGCCAGGGAACCUGAUUUUCUUUCCUGUAUCUCAAAGUGGUUUACGGAAAGGUGGGGGCAGGAAGGGGGAUUGCUGGAAACAUGAGCCUCUGUGUGUACACAAAUCUCCAGUGAUGUCAAUGGUGUGCUCUGCUGUAUUAUGGGAUAUCUGAAGUUUCUAUCUUCAUUAAGCAAGCAACUUUAUUGGCUCACACCUGUAGUCUGAACACUUAGGAGGCAGAGACAGGGGAAUUGUGAGUUUCAGGCCAGUCUGAGCUCAAAGGGGUGGGAGUGGGGGGUGGAGGAGGCAGAACAGAUGGCUCAGUAGGUGAAAGGGCUUGCUGUGCAAGUAUGAGGACCUGACUUUAAAUCCUCAGAAUUCACCUAGAAGCUGGACUUAUAUAGCACAUCUGUAAUUCCACUCUUAUGGGAAAAUGGGAGGCAGAGGUAGGGGAAUCUCUGGAAGUAUAACAGGUCAGCCAGGCUGGCACAGACUGCAGAAAAAAACAGCCCUCUAUGUCAAGGUGGAAGAGAACCAACACCUGAUGCCCUCUGACUUUCAUUCGUGAAUAGACUCAUAUACAGCACAGGCACAAAAGAACUUUUCUGCUUUAUGAACUGAGUGGGGAUAUGGUGUGCCAGAUAGAAACUCCAACCUCAGGGAACUUGCCUUCUUCUGGAGACAAGCCUAUUGGCAAGAGGCAUGUACCAGAUCAUGGGCAGCCAGGUGAAAGCUGGUUAUGACUUAAGGAGGCUACUGCUGCCCCACCCUGCUUCCUGCCUCCAUGAGGUUUUGAAGCACCUCCAGAUUGUAUGAUUUCCAUGCCUAAGGAAACCCCAGUGCCUUUUAUCACCCGCAGUGACACACAUUCUCUCUCUGAUCUGUAGAACCAGGAUCCAUCCCACAUACUUGCUGGAUUGAUUUCUUAAGUCUCUUGGAAGCAAUUUGUUCCAGGUAUCAUGUUUGGAGUCCCUGACCCGGUGUUUCCCGGAGAUGAUAGCCUGAGGGACAAGAGUGGAGCUCUUUGGCAGUGUACUACCCUGUGCCUGUAACCUGCCUCAAGACAUGAAGUGUGGUCACCGUAUAAUUCAUUAUCCAAACUUAUCCCAAGGGGGCCACUGUGGAGAGAAGAAGAGCUUUUACAAGCAGCCAGACAACAGGUGUCCUGGGUAGGAACCCUCUGGUAGCCACGGUGUUUCCAGCUCUGGGGUGCUGCUUCCCCAGUGGACAUUUGGCAAUGUCUGAAGAACUUUUUGGUUGUCACACCUACAUAUCCUCAUGCACAGAGAUAUGAAUGAGUCUCUAAAAGGCAAGCCUGAAGAUGGGAAGUUUAACGACCCUAAAGUCAGUGGUUUUUUCUGAUGCAACUGCCUUUGAGUCACCCAUACACUUGUAAGUAAACCCUCAUCCAUCUUCACAACAUCCCUGGUUCCUUUUCCUGUAAGUCACCUGAGCUGGUCAGAUGACUUGUUUUAUUUUUCAGUUUGACACAAGCUAGGAUCAUCUGGGAAAGGAGAAUCUCAAUUGAGAAAACCCUUCCAUAAGAUUGGCCUAUAGGCAAGUCUGCGGGGCAUUUUCUUCAUUAAUGACUGAUGUGGGAGAGCCCAAUUCAUGUGGGCAGGCAGUCCUGGAUUAUUUAAGAAAGCAGGCUGAGUAUACCAGGAGGAGGGAAGCAGUAAGCGGCCCUCCUCUGUGGCCUCUGCUGCAGUUCCUGCCUCCAGGUUCCUGUUCUGACUUUCUGACCUGACUUCUCUCCAAGAUGGACUACAAAGUAUACAAUGAAAUAAACCCUUCCAUCCACAAACUGCUUUUGGUUAUGGUGUUUAUCAAGCAAUGGAAAUUAAUUAGGAAAAUAAACUCACCAACUGCUAAGCUA